AGCCAAACAGAUUAUUACACACUGAAAUCGGAACAAUAUAGAGAAGAUCAGCGUGGUCCAUGUGCAAGGAUCACAUGCGAAACUGCGAAGCGCACCAUUUUUUC
rnacentral:snRNA from 1 species